CCCAGACUCCUACGGGAGGCAGCAGUGGGGGAUAUUGCACAAUGGGGGGAACCCUGAUGCAGCGACGCCGCGUGGGUGAAGGAGCGUUUCGGCGCGUAAAGCCCUAUCGGCAGGGAAGAAGGAGGACGGUACCUGACUAAGAAGCCCCGGCUAACUACGUGCCAGCAGCCGCGGUAAUACGUAGGGGGCAAGCGUUAUCCGGAUUUACUGGGUGUAAAGGGGGCGCAGACGGCAGCGCAAGCCAGGAGUGAAAGCCCGGGGCCCAACCCCGGGACUGCUCUUGGAACUGCGCGGCUGGAGUGCAGGAGGGGCAGGCGGAAUUCCUGGUGUAGCGGUGAAAUGCGUAGAUAUCAGGAGGAACACCGGUGGCGAAGGCGGCCUGCUGGACUGCGACUGACGUUGAGGCCCGAAAGCGUGGGGAGCAAACAGGAUUAGAUACCCUCGUACGC
rnacentral:rRNA from 1 species